UGGUCUCGAUGAGGUCCUUGAAAUUCAUGGGCACGGCGCUGGCAGCCACGCCGAUGCCCCGCUGGGCCAUGUUCUCAGCCUCGCGCCGCUCCUGCAUGGCCUCGUAUUGGAAGUCCUUCCUCCGCUCCGUGUGUGUGAGGACAGACGACGGGUUAACUCCUAAGUGUUAGAGGGGCCACCACGCUCCGGCCGGGCAGACGCUCCGAGGAGCCGCCAGCACAGUGAUGACGAGGUGGGCCCGGCUCAUGUGCGCCUCGUUCGUGGACAGCGCUCCUCUCGGCCGCAGGAGCCGGGGGGCAGCUGUGGGCUAAGUGACUGUGGAGGGGCCGCGUCCUGGAGCCCACAGGGCCUGAGCUCGGGCUUAGCGUGCGCCACUCACCGACAUUGGAGGACACCGCCCUGUUCAUGAUGUCAAGAGCCUCGUUGAACUUGUCCUUGACGGACGGGUGCGCCAGCACUUGGUCCGAGAACAUGGACUUCCAGCCCAGGUACCACUUGGUGAUCUCCUCGUAAUUGGGGCUGUUGCUCAGCCAGGAACACAGCACCUGCCCAGAGGACACAGGUGAGGAGCCGAGUCCGCCGCGGCGGCAGGCGGGAGCACAGCUUCCACUUGCUCAUCUGGGUCCCGGGCUACAAGCUGGUGACACUUGCAGGGUUUGAGGGGCUGAAGGGGGUCAGCUCAGCAGCGCAGGGCCCUGCACAUAGACGCUGCGUCUUGGCCUCCCACCCCCACCCUCGGGCCGCUCUGAGGAUCAGGGAUGAUGGAGGCCGGGUGCUUGGCCCCCUGUGGCAAGUGCUCAAUAAAGGGUGCGCACUGUGCCCUGCC